UACGAAGGGGGCUAGCGUUGUUCGGAAUCACUGGGCGUAAAGCGCACGCAGGCGGAUUGAUAAGUCAGGGGUGAAAUCCCGGAGCUCAACUUCGGAAUUGCCUUUGAUACUGUCUAUCUUCGAGUUCGGGAGAGGUUGGCGGAAUUCCUAGUGUAGAGGUGAAAUUCGUAGAUAUUAGGAAGAACACCAGUGGCGAAGGCGGCCAACUGGCCCGA
rnacentral:rRNA from 1 species